GUUGAAACACGGAUUCUCAUCCGAUCACUGAAGUUCAACAACGUCGAGCCUGGUCAGUACCUAGAUGGGCGACCACUUGGGAAUACGAGGUGUUA